rnacentral:lncRNA from 1 species
UUGUAAUAGAAGAUCACAGAUGUAACAGUGUUGAACCUUUCGAAUGUACACAGUAGAUACAACUGUUCAUUAGGAUAUCUUCAUAUGUAAUAGUAUUGAAACUUUGCUGUUUCAUUAGAGUAACUCAGAUGUAACAUUAGUACUGCCCAUUUGAAAUGAGUGCCCUUGCUUCGUUGAUGGCCUUUCUCAUUGGAACGAAACAAUGUAUAUACACCUCACGUACCAGAUCCAUCUUGGCGAUAGUCCAUGUUUCAUUUAUCUUGGUGUAAAUUUUCUUGAGAGUCCCAUCAUUACUGAAAGAAGCUGGAUCCACACUCAAGAAUGACUGUGCAGCACACACACAAAAAAAGGUUGGAAAAAUAAGAAAUGAAAAAAGCUAAAUAAAAGAUGAGUUCGAGGAAUUCAUUUAGAAAUAGAAAGUCACUGGUAUUGUAUCAUUACCGUGGCCAACUGGG